AGGCCUCUCUCAGUGUGUAGCCAUAAACUAUUUAACGGCUGUAUGGAAGCGUUUAUUAAGGACUCAGGACAAGCUAUCCCGCUUGUAGUCGAAAGCUGCAUUCGGUACAUCAAUUUAUACGGACUCCAACAACAAGGGAUCUUCCGAGUUCCAGGAUCUCAGGUUGAAGUCAAUGACAUAAAAAAUUCCUUUGAGAGAGGCGAAGACCCACUUGUGGAUGAUCAAAACGAACGAGAUAUCAAUUCAGUCGC